rnacentral:rRNA from 1 species
UACGUAGGGUGCGAGCGUUAAUCGGAAUUACUGGGCGUAAAGCGUGCGCAGGCGGUUUUGUAAGCCAGAUGUGAAAUCCCCGGGCUCAACCUGGGAAUGGCAUUUGGGACUGCAAGGCUUGAGUUUGGCAGAGGAGACUGGAAUUCCUGGUGUAGCAGUGAAAUGGCGUAGAUAUCAGGAGGAAUACCGAUGGCGAAGGCAGGUCUCUGGGCUAUAACUGACGCUCAUGCACGAAAGCGUGGGGAGCAAACAGG